AGGGCUAUAGCUCAGUUGGUAGAGCACCUCGUUUACACACCGAGAAGGCCUACGGUUCGAGUCCGUAUAGCCCUA
rnacentral:tRNA from 2 species